rnacentral:lncRNA from 1 species
UAUAAGAGAGAGUAACACAGUUUUCGAUAUUCAGAUAAAAUAGAAAUCAAGGGGAAAUAAAAAAAGAUCAAAUUUUCAAUUGUGUUGGCCAAAGUUUGAAGCUUUGUAGCUGAAAUUGAAAUGGGUAAGGAUCAAAAUAAUGUCUUUUGCAGUAAAUGAAAAAGAAAAACAUAAAAGGAGAAAGUGACCCGAUGCCGCGAGUUCCACCGGUAACGAGAGCGGUCAUUCCAUUGAGCGACCAUCUUGAGGAUCUGUUAUUGGUACUGCUUUCUGCAACUGCCAUUUUAGUAUGUCCCAACUUAAUUUACUGUGUCCACAUAUUUUUCUGAGCACAAGGGUUAUCUCCUCCUAAUUAUACAUAUGUUUACGUUCAAUUAUGAUGUUUUUAAAUGUAUUGCUUAAAUCCCAAGUCCCAACUCAUGGUUAAUUGUUAAAUAAUCCUUUUCUUAAUUGUGAAACAACUAUAUUAAAUAUACAUGAAAAAUUAACCACCAUUCGUGUAAAAUGCAUAUUGAAUACAAAAUAUAUAUUGAAAAUUAAGGGUGGGAAUUUUAUGCUGUUUUUCCAUAUACUCACUUUCGUUGACUAGUUAAUGUGAAUUCCUCAAUCAAAGGUGAAAUCAUCAUCAAAUGAUAAAUUGAAUUUGCUAGUCCAUAUUUGUGGAUACCUCUCUCAGUAGAGGCUUCAUUGUUUAUAAAUAAUGAUACAAGUUACAACUGAGUUUGAAUAAAAGGAACAAUCAAUUCAUAAAAGAAUGAAAUUGAAGAAUGAGAUCAAGGUCUUCAACUAGGAGCAACUAAUGGAACUUCAGGUAAUUCUCAUGCUGGGUUGGAAUCCAUACACUGUUAAUCCACCAUCAACCGAAAUAACUUGUCCAGUGAUGUAUGAUGCAGCAGGCAAGCACAGGAAAGCCACCAAUGAUGACACUUCUUCUGGUUCUGCGAUGCGCCUAAGCGGAGUUCGAGAUAGAAUAUCCUCUACAAACUGUUGGUUCUUAAAUAACUACAAGCAUAAAAGAAAGGAAAUUGUAAAAAACACAUUAUAUUUUAUUAUGAG